rnacentral:lncRNA from 1 species
AGGCACGGGUGCACCGCGCCUCCUUCUUUGCCUUGCAGUUCUCAACCGCACAAUAGGGACAUCAUCCUGAUCAUCCUCUACUCUAACAGUAUCAGCUAUUCGUCUAUUCCUCGGCAUUUCCUAAAAUAAAAGUGAGAGCACUCAAGUCAUGCUAGAACAAUAGCAUGAUAAUUAUCACAAAAUUAUAGGAAAGCAUAUCUAUCACAAGGAAGAAGACAUGUUUGAUAAGAGUUCAAAAUUUCAAAGACAACAAACAAGACAAUACGGAUCCUAAUGCUCCACUUAUUACGAAUUUAAUUAUAUUAUUGUUUCUUUAACCUAAGGCUCUAAUACCAAGUUUGUCACGACCCGGAUCCAUGACCGGCACAUAGGCAAGGUUCUCCUCCAAGGUUCCAUACCUAUGCGAACCCAAACUUACACACAAACUUAUCCUAACUCAAUCAAAGUUCAACGCAGCAUUAACAACAAAAUCAACUUCAUAAUAUAAUUGAAUUGUCUUAAUACAAGAGUUUAUAUAAGUUCAGAGUUUUGGAGCACUAACUAGACAUAAAGGGAAAAGGUACAAUUUACAACCAAAAGAGCAGGUUCUGAAGGUCCAACAAAAUGACCUGCUAUCAAGCUAUAAGCCUGAAAAGGAUAAAUAAUGAGAUGGUGAGUUCAACAACUCAGUGAGUAGAUAACGUUCAAUAUACACAUACGAGGUAAUACAACAAUGAGAAAUAUAUAUACAAGUAUGCCUCUAGGUUCUUAUAGAAAGGUUUCUCAAAUAGGCCAUAACAAGAAUAUCAUAUGGUAAAACUCGUCAGAAAAUCAAAAUGCAAUGAGCAUGAGGCUCCGUACUGUGGGAUGAUCAGUCCACACAGGUUGGUGACUCCCCCGACCAACUAGGGUUCAGAUACGAUGUGCACAAAGACUAACACUACCCUGUUAGCAUGGGUAUUCUGACUGACAUACCAUAGGUUCAUAAUCAUAAUCAAACAGACAUAUUCAUAUCUCAAGGCUCAACUCAUGACAUCAAUCAAAUGAGGAGCUAUCAAUUCAGAAUUCAAUUCAAAAUAUAUACUGGUUCAUAUCAAGAAUUCAGAUUCAACAAUUGAUCAUGUUUUAUCAAAACAAGGAUAAUAAUCAACAUAUAUAUUAUCAAGAAGCAUGAUCCAAUUCAUAUUAACAAAUCAAAUAUUUAUAAUAUUUCUCAUGCAUAUGGAAAAUUAUCCACUCACCUGACUCGAAAGCAACAAAACUCAAAGCUGAUAUCAAAGGAAAUCCUACUGACGUCCCGCCGGUAGAAUAUCAGGAUUAUCUUAAUACAAAGAAGACAUAUUUAAGAAUGACUCAAAAGAAUAUAUAUAACCUAUUUAAUACACUUAUCUAAGGGUGUAUUCCGUAACCCUAUAUGUUUUUUUGAACUAACUAGUUAUCUUUCCUAAAAACCCAACAUUUAACGGUUUUCCCGAAAUCUAAUCCAUAAUAAAACAACUAAUAAAAUUGAUAAUAAUUCACUAAAUAACCCUCAAUUAUUCAUCAAAACAAUCUGAAAAAGGUAAUAUUACAGCUAGGGACUAAUCUGUAAUUUAUCAUAUUUUUAGGGCCAAAUUGUAAUUUUUGUCUAAUUGGAGGACCAAACUGAAAUUUAUCAUAAAUCCAUGAAUAUACUGAAAUUCUGACCAUAAUUAAUCCUCAAUUCUGUCCAGGAUAUAUCAUUAUGCUCCAGGGACCAUUCUGGAAUUUUACCAAAUUUUUAGGGUCAAAUUGUAAUUUUUGCCAAAUUGGAGGACCAAAUUGAAAGUGUUAAAUUCUCUUAUCUAUACAAUAAUUCUGUCCAUAAUUCAUAUGUUAUUCUGUUCAGAUUCUCGGAAUAGGCUCCAGGGACCAAUCUGCAAAUUUUCCAAAGUUUGGGGACUAAACUGUAAUUUUCCAAAAUUGAGGGACCAAACCGAAAUUUUGUCAUCUUCAACCUCCAACCCAGAAUUCCAACAGAAAACCCACUGUUCUUUCCUUAUUUCUAACACAAAUUCACCAUUCAAACAAAAUCAUAACUCAAAAUCAUCAUCUUUCAAUUCAAUCUCUCAAAAUCAACCAAAUAAUCAAAUACCCACAACAAUUAACCCUACAACAUCCAAAUUAACUCAUAAAUCAAACUCAAAACACAAAUUUCAUAACCCUAACAUUUAUCAAAAUCAAAAUUAAAGCUUAAUUAACACAUAUUUAUACAUAAUCUUACCUUUUUACUUAUUUCCUUCAAUUCCUUUCUAUUUCCCUUCUAAUUUCCCUCUUUUCUCUUCUUCUUCUUCUUUCUCCCUUUCUCUCCUGCCGGUUCUCUCUCAAAAUUCAGAUCCCUCUUUCCUUUUCUUUUUCUUUUUUUUUUUACUUCCUAUUUAUAUAUAUCAUCUCUUUAUACAAUUACUAUUAUACCCCUCAUUUAAUUUAUUCCUACAUCUAAGCAUUCAAGGGCCUUGUUGCCAUUUCCUAUCUUUUAAUACAAAACAUUACA